GGAGAGAUGACAGAGUGGUCGAUUGUGCGCGCCUGGAAAGCUCGUGUACCGCAAGGUACCGGGGGUUCGAAUCCCUCUCUCUCCGCCA
rnacentral:tRNA from 1 species